UGCCAGCCGCCGCGGUAAUACGGAGGGUGCAAGCGUUGUCCGGAUUCAUUGGGUUUAAAGGGUGCGCAGGCGGAUUUGUAAGUCAGUGGUGAAAUCCUACAGCUUAACUGUAGAACUGCCAUUGAUACUGCAGGUCUUGAGUACGUUCGAGGUGGUUGGAAUGAGUGGUGUAGCGGUGAAAUGCAUAGAGAUCACUCAGAACACCGAUUGCGAAGGCAGAUCACUAGAACGUUACUGACGCUGAGGCACGAAAGCGUGGGGAGCGAACAGGAUUAGAUA
rnacentral:rRNA from 1 species